rnacentral:rRNA from 1 species
GAUGAACGCUGGCGGCGUGCCUAAUACAUGCAAGUCGAGCGGAAAGGCCCCUUCGGGGGUACUCGAGCGGCGGACGGCUGAGUAACGCGUAGGAAUGUACCCCAAAGUGAGGAAUAACUGCCCGAAAGGGUGGCUAAUGCCGCAUGUGAUCUACGGAUUAAAGCUUUAUGCGCUUUGGGAACAGCCUGCGCCCGAUUAGCUAGUUGGUAGUGUAAUGGACUACCAAGGCGAUGAUCGGUAGCUGGUCUGAGAGGAUGAUCAGCCACACUGGGACUGAGAGACGGCCCAGACUCCUACGGGAGGCAGCAGUGGGGAAUAUUGGACAAUGGGGGCAACCCUGAUCCAGCGAUGCCGCGUGUGUGAAGAAGGCCUGAGGGUUGUAAAGCACUUUAGUUGGGGAAGAGAUUACAGAGUUUAAGAGAUACUGUAUGAGACAUGAACCAAAGAAUAAGCACCGGCUAACUCCGUGCCAGCCGCCGCAGUAA